rnacentral:rRNA from 1 species
CCUACGGGAGGCAGCAGUGGGGAAUAUUGGACAAUGGGGGCAACCCUGAUCCAGCAAUGCCGCGUGUGUGAACGAAGGCCUGCGGAGUUGUAAAGCUACUUUCAGUAGAGAAGAAAAGCUUACGGUUAAUACCUGUGAGUCUUGAACGUAACCUACAGAAGAAGCACCGGCUAACUCCGUGCCAGCAGCCGCGGUAAUACGGAGGGUGCAAGCGUUAAUCGGAAUUACUGGGCGUAAAGCGCGC